rnacentral:SRP_RNA from 2 species
GCUGGGUGUGGUGGCGUGUGCCUGUAGUCCCAGCUACUCAGGAGGCUGAGGCAGGAGAAUCGCUUGAACCCGGGAAGUGGAGGUUGUAGUGAGCCAAGAUCGUGCCACUGCACUCCAGCCUGGGUGACAGAGCGAGACUCUGUCUCAA